GAAAAGUUGCAUGCCAGUGGAAAAUUUGUAUUGCAACUCGAUGAAUCUACGGAUAUCGGUGGGCAUGCACAUUUGGCAAAUGUGCGCUUUGUAGACGGAGACACCAUCAGAGAAAACUUCCUGUUUUUCAAGGAAUUGCUAGAAAGAACAACAGGAGAGGAAAUUUUUCGAGUUGUAUCAAAGAACCUUGGACAAGGAGGACUUAAGUGGGAAAACUGCAUUAACUGUUUGCACUGAUGGAGCAGCCGCCAUGUUUGGGCGCACCGAAGGAUUUCUAAGCAGAGUGAAAGAGCAACAUCCAGAUGUUAUUGCGACGCAUUGUUUUCUGCAUCGUGAGGCACUCGUUGCCAAGACAUUACCAGCACACAUACUGUAGCUCCUGUAUUGGACAAUAUUGCGCUCAUGAUAAACUUUGCGAAGACAAGACCUGUAAAAAGUUGCAUGUUUGCAUCAUUGUGUGAAGAAAUGAGUGCGGAGCAUAAAGUGCUAUUGCUGCAUAUGGAGUUCCGGUGGUUGUCCCAUGGCAAAGUUUUAGCCCGAGUGUAUGAGCUCCAGGAGGAACUAAAAGUGUUUUUGACAAAUCAGUGGUGUGAUGACGCUAAGUUGCUUUCAGGUGAUGAGUGAGUGGUGUGCAACACUGGCAUGUCUGGCGGAUAUAUUUCAACAUUUCAAUGACCUGAACACACUGAUGCAAUGCCGAAAUGAAAUCCUGCUCACAAGAUCAGCUAAAAUAAAUGGAUUUCCUUCAAAGGUGCAGCUCUGGCAACAACAUGUGGAAAGUGCCAACCUUGACAGACUAUUUCAGCCCUGUUCCCAUUUUCCACAACCUACCUAUGCGAGCUUGGCUUUUCAAGCAUGACUGCUAUAAAAACUAAACAAAGAGAGAGACUCAGUGCUUCGUGUAUGUCUUUCUUCAAUUCCUGCAUGUAUAUCAGCGUCGUGUUCAACUAAACAGGUCCAGGUUUCGCAAUGAUUUCCUCUGAACUGGAAAGUGGCAAUCCAAUCUUUCUGUUUGUGUACAGAAACCGUAGUGAGUGAAAAUCCCAAGAGGACAGAUGUUUCUGAGAUGCUGGAAGCUUCAUGUCUGUCACCAACAAUCAUAGCAUGGCCAAUGUCACUUAAAGGAGAUCACGCUUCCUGCCCAAGCUGAUGUCUGCCUGAACAAUAACUAAAUGUGUUGCAUUAUACUGUAUAUUGAGUUGGAGUCACAUACCUUGCUGCCUGGAGAAACAAUAUUUGGAUUAAUAAACUGUCA